AUGGCUGCAGCCAAGAAGUUGCUCUCCCUGAUCAUCAUCCUAGCUGCAGCUUCCUCUGUCCACACCGCAACCGAAAGAUCCAACGGGAGCUGCAUCCCGGCCGAGAGGGCCGCGCUGCUCUCCUUCAAGGCCGGCAUCACAGGCGACCUAGACAAUCGCCUCGUCUCAUGGCAGCAACGACACCACGACUGCUGCCGGUGGAGCGGCGUCACCUGCAGCCGCCGGACAGGCCACGUCGUCAAGCUCGACCUCCGCAGCGGUUAUCAAUUUCCGAUUUCAGAAUAUUAUCUCUCGGCGUCACCUGAAGUAUUAUUGUCGUCGAUGGAGUCAGUCUAA
rnacentral:rRNA from 1 species